rnacentral:tRNA from 1 species
GCCGAAAUAGCUCAGUUGGGAAAGCGUUAGACUAUAGAUCGAAAGUACUUGAUUCGAUCCCGGGUUUUGGCA